UAGCAGCACGUAAAUAUUGGUGUAGUGAAGUCUUAAACCCCAAUAUUAUUGUGCUGCUUUA
rnacentral:pre_miRNA from 1 species